AUUUUAAUGUUAAGUAUUUAUUAAAUACUUCAUUUAUUUCUAAUAUAAGUAUUUUAAACUAUUUAGCCAUAGGUAAAAAUGUCAUCUAUAAAAAUAAUUAAUUUUAUUUGAAACAAUUAGUUACUUAGGUACCUAUAUCAAUUAGGACAGCGAUAAAAUAUUAAAAUGAAAAAUUUGUAUUGAAAUAUAUUAUUUCGCAGCCAAAGGAACCAUAAUAAUAUAAUCUACUAAAAAGUAUUGUAGACACAGUCGAGUUAAAACCAUCUCUUUCACUUAUUACAAUAGAAAAUUUACAAAUGUAUAUUAUAUUUUGAAGAAUUUAUUUUUAAAACUUUUUGUAAUACUAGGCAUUCAAUAUGUUUAUGAUUUUGUAUGUUAAUAGAGUUAGUAUAAUAUUGUGCAC